rnacentral:rRNA from 1 species
GCCGUUAACGAACGAGACCUUAACCUGCUAAAUAGCCCGUAUUGCUUUGGCAGUACGCUGGCUUCUUAGAGGGACUAUCCGCUCAAGCGGAUGGAAGUUUGAGGCAAUAACAGGUCUGUGAUGCCCUUAGAUGUUCUGGGCCGCACGGGCGCCACACUGAUCGGUUCAUCGAGCAUAAAACCUUGACUGAAAAGUCUGGGUAAUCUUUUGAAAACCGAUCGUGCUGGGGAUAGAUCAUUGUAAUUAUUGAUCUUCAACGAGGAAUUCCUAGGAAACGCGAGUCAUCAACUCGCAUUGAUUACGUCCCUGCCCUUUGUACACACCGCCCGUCGCUAGUACCGAUUGAAUGGUUAA